rnacentral:rRNA from 1 species
ACGAACGCUGGCGGCAUGCCUAACACAUGCAAGUCGAACGAGACCUUCGGGUCUAGUGGCGCACGGGUGCGUAACGCGUGGGAACCUGCCCUUAGGUUCGGAAUAACUCCCCGAAAGGGGUGCUAAUACCGGAUAAUGUCUUCGGACCAAAGAUUUAUCGCCUUUGGAUGGGCCCGCGUUGGAUUAGCUAGUUGGUAGGGUAAAAGCCUACCAAGGCGACGAUCCAUAGCUGGUCUGAGAGGAUGAUCAGCCACACUGGGACUGAGACACGGCCCAGACCCCUAGGGGGGGGAGCAGGGGGGAAUAUGGGACAAUGGGCGAAAGCCUAAUCCAGAAAGGCCGGGGGAGUGAUGAAGGCCUUAGGGUUGUAAAGCUCUUUUACCCGGGAUGAAAAGGACAGUACCGGGGAAAUAAGCCCCGGCUAACCCCGG